rnacentral:rRNA from 1 species
AGAGUUUGAUCCUGGCUCAGGAUGAACGCUGGCGGCGUGCUUAACACAUGCAAGUCGAACGAUCCUUCGGGAUAGUGGCGGACGGGUGAGUAACGCGUGGGAAUCUGCCCUCAGGAGGGGGAUAACGGCUGGAAACGGCCGCUAAUACCCCAUAUGCCGAGAGGUGAAAUGAAUUUCGCCUGAGGAUGAGCCCGCGUCUGAUUAGCUAGUUGGUGGGGUAAAGGCCUACCAAGGCAACGAUCAGUAGCUGGUCUGAGAGGAUGAUCAGCCACACUGGGACUGAGACACGGCCCAGACUCCUACGGGAGGCAGCAGUGGGGAAUUUUCCGCAAUGGGCGAAAGCCUGACGGAGCAACGCCGCGUGAGGGAUGAAGGCCUCUGGGCUGUAAACCUCUUUUCUCAAGGAAGAAGACCUGACGGUACUUGAGGAAUAAGCCACGGCUAAUUCCGUGCCAGCAGCCGCGGUAAUACGGGAGUGGCAAGCGUUAUCCGGAAUUAUUGGGCGUAAAGCGUCCGCAGGCGGCCUUGUAAGUCUGUUGUUAAAGCGUGGAGCUCAACUCCAUUUAAGCAAUGGAAACUACAAGGCUGGAGUGUGGUAGGGGCAGAGGGAAUUCCCGGUGUAGCGGUGAAAUGCGUAGAUAUCGGGAAGAACACCAGUGGCGAAGGCGCUCUGCUGGGCCAUAACUGACGCUCAUGGACGAAAGCCAGGGGAGCGAAAGGGAUUAGAUACCCCUGUAGUCCUGGCCGUAAACGAUGAACACUAGGUGUCGGGGGAAUCGACCCCCUCGGUGUCGUAGCCAACGCGUUAAGUGUUCCGCCUGGGGAGUACGCACGCAAGUGUGAAACUCAAAGGAAUUGACGGGGGCCCGCACAAGCGGUGGAGUAUGUGGUUUAAUUCGAUGCAACGCGAAGAGCCUUACCAGGGUUUGACAUCCUGCGAACCCCUGAGAAAUCGGGGGGUGCCUUCGGGAGCGCAGAGACGGGUGGUGCAUGGCUGUCGUCAGCUCGUGUCGUGAGAUGUUGGGUUAAGUCCCGCAACGAGCGCAACCCACGUCUUUAGUUGCCAGCAUUCAGUUGGGCACUCUAGAGAGACCGCCGGUGAUAAACCGGAGGAAGGUGUGGAUGACGUCAAGUCAUCAUGCCCCUUACAUCCUGGGCUACACACGUACUACAAUGCCACGGACAAAGGGCAGCAAGCUCGCGAGAGUUAGCAAAUCCCAUAAACCGUGGCUCAGUUCAGAUCGUAGGCUGCAACUCGCCUACGUGAAGGAGGAAUCGCUAGUAAUCGCAGGUCAGCAUACUGCGGUGAAUACGUUCCCGGGCCUUGUACACACCGCCCGUCACACCAUGGAAGUUGGCCAUGCCCGAAGUCGUUACUCCAACCCUUGUGGAGGAGGACGCCGAAGGUGGGGCUGAUGACUGGGGUGAAGUCGUAACAAGGUA